rnacentral:rRNA from 1 species
GCGAAGCUCUUGAUCGAAGCCCCGGUAAACGGCGGCCGUAACAAUAACGGUCCUAAGGUAGCGAAAUUCCUUGUCGGGUAAGUUCCGACCUGCACGAAUGGCGUAAUGAUGGCCAGGCUGUCUCCACCCGAGACUCAGUGAAAUUGAACUCGCUGUGAAGAUGCAGUGUACCCGCGGCAAGACGGAAAGACCCCGUGAACCUUUACUAUAGCUUGACACUGAACAUUGAGCCUUGAUGUGUAGGAUAGGUGGGAGGCUUUGAAGUGUGGACGCCAGUCUGCAUGGAGCCGACCUUGAAAUACCACCCUUUAAUGUUUGAUGUUCUAACGUUGACCCGUAAUCCGGGUUGCGGACAGUGUCUGGUGGGUAGUUUGACUGGGGCGGUCUCCUCCUAAAGAGUAACGGAGGAGCACGAAGGUUGGCUAAUCCUGGUCGGACAUCAGGAGGUUAGUGCAAUGGCAUAAGCCAGCUUGACUGCGAGCGUGACGGCGCGAGCAGGUGCGAAAGCAGGUCAUAGUGAUCCGGUGGUUCUGAAUGGAAGGGCCAUCGCUCAACGGAUAAAAGGUACUCCGGGGAUAACAGGCUGAUACCGCCCAAGAGUUCAUAUCGACGGCGGUGUUUGGCACCUCGAUGUCGGCUCAUCACAUCCUGGGGCUGAAGUAGGUCCCAAGGGUAUGGCUGUUCGCCAUUUAAAGUGGUACGCGAGCUGGGUUUAGAACGUCGUGAGACAGUUCGGUCCCUAUCUGCCGUGGGCGCUGGAGAACUGAGGGGGGCUGCUCCUAGUACGAGAGGACCGGAGUGGACGCAUCACUGGUGUUCGGGUUGUCAUGCCAAUGGCACUGCCCGGUAGCUAAAUGCGGAAGAGAUAAGUGCUGAAAGCAUCUAAGCACGAAACUUGCCCCGAGAUGAGUUCUCCCUGACUCCUUGAGAGUCCUGAAGGAACGUUGAAGACGACGACGUUGAUAGGCCGGGUGUGUAAGCGCAGCGAUGCGUUGAGCUAACCGGUACUAAGCUCUACCUCCAUGACUCU